rnacentral:rRNA from 1 species
GACGAACGCUGGCGGCGUGCUUAACACAUGCAAGUCGAACGGAAAGGCCCUGCGUUUGUGGGGUGCUCGAGUGGCGAACGGGUGAGUAACACGUGGGUAACCUGCCCUGGACUUUGGGAUAACUUCAGGAAACGGGGGCUAAUACCGGAUAGGAGCUCCUGCUGCAUGGUGGGGGUUGGAAAGUUUCGGCGGUUGGGGAUGGACUCGCGGCUUAUCAGCUUGUUGGUGGGGUAGUGGCUUACCAAGGCUUUGACGGGUAGCCGGCCUGAGAGGGUGACCGGCCACAUUGGGACUGAGAUACGGCCCAGACUCCUACGGGAGGCAGCAGUGCGGAAUAUUGCACAAUGGGCGGAAGCCUGAUGCAGCAACGCCGCGUGCGGGAUGACGGCCUUCGGGUUGUAAACCGCUUUCGCCUGUGACGAAGCGUGAGUGACGGUACUGGGUAAAGAAGCACCGGCUAACUACGUG